GACGAACGCUGGCGGCGUGUUUAACACAUGCAAGUCGAACGGAAAGGCCCUGCUUUUGUGGGGUGCUCGAGUGGCGAACGGGUGAGUAACACGUGAGUAACCUGCCCUUGACUUUGGGAUAACUUCAGGAAACUGGGGCUAAUACCGGAUAGGAGCUCCUGCUGCAUGGUGGGGGUUGGAAAGUUUCGGCGGUUGGGGAUGGACUCGCGGCUUAUCAGCUUGUUGGUGGGGUAGUGGCUUACCAAGGCUUUGACGGGUAGCCGGCCUGAGAGGGUGACCGGCCACAUUGGGACUGAGAUACGGCCCAGACUCCUACGGGAGGCGGCAGUGGGGAAUAUUGCACAAUGGGCGGAAGCCUGAUGCAGCAACGCCGCGUGCGGGAUGACGGCCUUCGGGUUGUAAACCGCUUUCGCCUGUGACGAAGCGUGAGUGACGGUAAUGGGUAAAGAAGCACCGGCUAACUACGU
rnacentral:rRNA from 1 species